UGGAUCAAUGAUGACUUCUGGUGGAGUAUGAGUCUUAUACGAUGAAUACGUAUCUGGAAUUCUGAGGUCCUU
ensembl:snoRNA SNORD114-26 small nucleolar RNA, C/D box 114-26